rnacentral:rRNA from 1 species
UACGUAGGGCGCAAGCGUUGUCCGGAAUUAUUGGGCGUAAAGAGCUCGUAGGCGGUUUGUCGCGUCUGCUGUGAAAACUCGAGGCUCAACCUCGGGCUUGCAGUGGGUACGGGCAGACUAGAGUGCGGUAGGGGGAGACUGGAAUUCCUGGUGUAGCGGUGGAAUGCGCAGAUAUCAGGAGGAACACCGAUGGCGAAGGCAGGUCUCUGGGCCGCAACUGACGCUGGAGGAAGCGGAAAGCAUGGGGAGCGAACAGG